CUGCCCUACUUCUCAAAUUACUCUACUGAAAAUUUGUACAAAACUUUCAGUCUCGAAUUUAAAAAUUACUUAAACACAUAGAAAAAAUCUUUUGAAAAAGCCCCAAUCCAACUUAAGAUGUGCGAUCCCUGUGGCUUUUCCGUUGCGCCAGUCGGCCCCUACGGACCAGUAGGACCCUAUGGACAAAUCACCGCCUGUGGAGCGCAUGGUAUCUAUGGUCCACCGUGCAUACCAUAUUCGCCACCAUGCCCACCUUGCUGCAGUUCAGGCUGCGCUCCACCACCAUGCGAUCCGUGUGCCAAUUGCUGCCCCAGGCCAUGCUGUCCCUGAAAUGCUGAAAAAGUGGACAAAUAAUAUGGAAAACGAAAUCUUGCAUCUUGAGUGGGAGUGGGGCAAAAAAAAGUUCAAGCAUAAUUAAUAGUCUAAGGGAAACAGCAAUAUUAAGAUCGAUCAAAAUGGGAAAAAAUUUUUGCUUUGCGGUGGCCUUGAGUUUAGGAGGUAUCGUGGUACAUUUGUAGUCCUAUGAUUUCCUUACGUGGGUAUUGAAUUGAAGGCUAACCGCCGAAGCUUUCAAAUAAUUAUAAUAUAUUGAUCUUGGUUGUUUCCUGGAAUAAAAUAAAUGCCGUAGAAAUGUA